rnacentral:rRNA from 2 species
UUUCCGUAGGUGAACCUGCGGAAGGAUCAUUACCGAGUGAGGGCCCUCUGGGUCCAACCUCCCACCCGUGUCUAUCGUACCUUGUUGCUUCGGCGGGCCCGCCGUUUCGACGGCCGCCGGGGAGGCCUUGCGCCCCCGGGCCCGCGCCCGCCGAAGACCCCAACAUGAACGCUGUUCUGAAAGUAUGCAGUCUGAGUUGAUUAUCGUAAUCAGUUAAAACUUUCAACAACGGAUCUCUUGGUUCCGGCAUCGAUGAAGAACGCAGCGAAAUGCGAUAAGUAAUGUGAAUUGCAGAAUUCAGUGAAUCAUCGAGUCUUUGAACGCACAUUGCGCCCCCUGGUAUUCCGGGGGGCAUGCCUGUCCGAGCGUCAUUGCUGCCCUCAAGCACGGCUUGUGUGUUGGGCCCCCGUCCCCCUCUCCCGGGGGACGGGCCCGAAAGGCAGCGGCGGCACCGCGUCCGGUCCUCGAGCGUAUGGGGCUUUGUCACCUGCUCUGUAGGCCCGGCCGGCGCCAGCCGACACCCAACUUUAUUUUUCUAAGGUUGACCUCGGAUCAGGUAGGGAUACCCGCUGAACUUAAGCAUAUCAAUAAGCGGAGGAA